rnacentral:pre_miRNA from 1 species
AAAAAGUUCAGUUUUUAGUUUUUAUAUAACGUUUGGCUCUUCAUUUUAUUUAAAAAGUUUUACGAUUAAUAUUUUUAUUGUUGUUAAAUUAUAAAACAUGAAUAGUAUUUUAUAUGUGACUAAUUUUUUUUAGCUUUUCUAUAUCUUUUUUAAAUAAGACAGACAAUCAAAGGUUAGACACAGAAAUCCAAAAAUAAACUUGUU